CUAAGCCUUAGAUCUCUGCAGAGUGUGAGCCGUCGAGCAGAUCUGAGUCCGUACAGCCAGUGUCACCGUCGACCGAGAACGGAACCGCCGACCAGUCGCCAUCAACCACCGAAGACCACCAGUGUGUUCCCCUUGUCGAGACGAGUCCGGAGCUAGAAGAUCAGCCGCAGACCACCGCGCACGCGCCUCCACGCGCCUCCACGCGCCGCCGCUCCACCACGCGUGCAUCUCACGCGCCGCCGCCUGUCACCGCCGUUCGCCGGAGUCUUCGUCGCCGGUGACUGCUCCGAUUUGGAGUCUAUUUGAGCAGUUGGAGUUCAUAGCUACUACUUUUCCCAUUUCUAAGGUGAGACAGACGAGUAGGAGACUGAUCGGACAGCUGGUGUUUCUAGGCGUUUUCAUUGUCUUUAUUCUCAGACUUAUAUUUUAUUAUUAUUCUAUUAUUUUCGGCGAUUAUUUCAGUAUUUGAGUUAUUGGAUUUAUGGAUUUAUUUCGUUAUUUAUAUGGAA